GCCGGGUGUGGUGGCUCACGCCUGUAAUCCCAGCACUUUGGAGGCUGAGGUGGGUGGAUCACCUGAGGCCAGGAGUUUGAGACCAGCCUGGCCACCAUGGUAAAACUCCAUCUCUA
ensembl:misc_RNA Metazoa_SRP Metazoan signal recognition particle RNA